rnacentral:rRNA from 1 species
GAUGAACGCUGGCGGCGUGCCUAAUACAUGCAAGUCGAGCGAACGGACGAGAAGCUUGCUUCUCUGAUGUUAGCGGCGGACGGGUGAGUAACACGUGGAUAACCUACCUAUACGACUGGGAUAACUUCGGGAAACCGGAGCUAAUACCGGAUAAUAUUUUGAACCGCAUGGUUCAAAAGUGAAAGACGGUCUUGCUGUCACUUAUAGAUGGAUCCGCGCUGCAUUAGCUAGUUGGUAAGGUAACGGCUUACCAAGGCAACGAUGCAUAGCCGACCUGAGAGGGUGAUCGGCCACACUGGAACUGAGACACGGUCCAGACUCCUACGGGAGGCAGCAGUAGGGAAUCUUCCGCAAUGGGCGAAAGCCUGACGGAGCAACGCCGCGUGAGUGAUGAAGGUCUUCGGAUCGUAAAACUCUGUUAUUAGGGAAGAACAUAUGUGUAAGUAACUGUGCACAUCUUGACGGAACCUAAUCAGAAAGCCACGGCUAACUACGUG